rnacentral:lncRNA from 10 species
GCCUCGUAAAGAAAGUUCCUGCUGCUUCUUCUGCUAUGAUUGUAAAUUUCCUGAGGCCUCUCCAGCCACGCAGAACUAUGGUGUCAGAAUUGGAACAUGAAGUAGAACUUCCAGUAACCCCUAGGAGCAUCAAGUGACCCAGAGAGGUAACCCCCUCCACCAGGGUCCAUUGCAUCCAUUGCUCUCUCACAGCAACUGAGGCUCAUGGGACUGGAGUGGAGUCGGUAGGAAGGAACAGUCUUUGAAGUUAGAUGCGCCAGGUUGUAACCCCACUUCCACCAAUUGUGGUAACUUUGUGAGACAAGCCUCAAAUUUUACCACUGUACCAAGAAAUGAAAGCCAGAAUGUGGAAUUGGAGCUGGUAAUGACGACGUCAGGACAGGUUCAAAGGAAGCCCAUCACUUGAGUAAAAAUUUAUAGCCCUGCUUGUGCUGUGCUGUGCUGUGCUGUGAGUUUCAGUUCCGGGCCAGCAAAAGAUUUAUCAAAGGAAAGCAACAAGGUGUGUGGAAAUAGAAGGUAAGAAAAAUUAAUUUCAGAGAGGAAAAUAAAGUUGCUUGAGGGGCUCUUCAAUGACCAAAGGCCAUAAGAGACUGGAAGGCAAAAGGACCCAUUAAUGUAAUCCAAACAUCAGUCUCCUGCAGCAAAGAGGUGAAUGGAGAAGGGUGGAGAGUAGCUGUGGACGAGUGAAAAAGACAUCGCACCAUGUCUUCAAAUUACAUCCAGCAACUUCAUAUGAACUAUGAAACCCUUGUUGCCACAAUAGUCCCUCUUUGUUUGAACUACUACAAGAAUAAAGAAAUUUCUUUCUAAUCUUUUGCAGAAGAAUUACAUAGACUCUCACUUACUGCUCUUGUUUCAUAGGUGGCUGAUUUUCCAAUUAUAUUAAAUACUUUUGGAAGGGCUGGGACUACAUCUAAUUUCUUGAAAAGUCUGGUGCUGUGGAAGACCAAGACCCAGACUGUUGAGGUCAGCCUAAUGUAAUGUGAAAUAUCUAAACUCUGCGUACUUCUUUACCAUGAGUGUAUAGAUAAAAUAUCAUUGCAUUUAAGGAAAUUGCUUAAAGCCUCACAGUGAAUAAAGUUGACAAAACAUGUAGACUUAUUGCAGAUUUUAUGCAUUUAGGUUUUAUGGCUUCAUUUGCAAUCAGGACUCCCCUCCCCUCCCUUCCUCCCUUCCUUCCCUUCCCUUCCCUGUCCUUCUUUCUUUCCUUUCCUUCCCCUUCCUUCCUUCUCCUCGUCCUGUUU